AUCAUUAGGUACUAUAAUCCAAUAAGUCUAGCAAUUGUCCUAGUCGGGCUCAUGCACAUGCAAAAAUCUAUUCCCAAAAAUUUAUCCCAUUCGCUCAAAUCUGUCUUUUUAUAGGAGAGAAAUAAGAAAAAUUACGUUGUUAUGUUCAUAUUAUGUAAAAAUGAAAUUGUUCCUAAGCAAAUGGCAUCACAACUUGCUGCACCAUUCACAUGCACAGGCACAGCACACCGA
rnacentral:lncRNA from 1 species